rnacentral:lncRNA from 1 species
AAUACUGAAUCUCUUGGUGUAGUUACUGUGUGAUACAAUCCUUCUAUCAUGAGUCCCGACUAGACGGAGGUUAUGGAAUAACUCGUCAAACCCCAUUGUCCGUCAUAUGUUAAAUUUAUUCGCCUCGAGUUUCUAAUAUCGGAUACCCUUUUCCGCUAUUAACUCUGCCCUGGCCAAAGUCUUCUAAACUCUGUCUUAUAAAUCACAUAGGACAACACCCCUAUCUACCAAGAGAGAUAGAUUCCUUCUAUGUGUGCACCAUAUUCUUACAAUGAACCUACUGCAGCCAACAUGCACCGCAAGGACCCGAAUGGCUAGGGACCAAGUGUAUAUACAGUCAAACUACAGUAACCUCAUUGUGAAUAGCCGAAGCACCGCAAGUCAAAGAACCAGUCAC